ACGUAGCUCCAGGGCCUACAAGGAGUUCUCCACGGUAGGCUAGCCACAGUUCAGUUGUAAUUCCAAUUGGUAACUUUUGAAAGCACCACAAAUCAGUUUUGCGUGUGAGUUUUGAGAAAUUGGUCU
rnacentral:lncRNA from 1 species